CCUACGGGAGGCAGCAGUGGGGAAUAUUGGACAAUGGGCGAAAGCCUGAUCCAGCCAUGCCGCGUGUGUGAAGAAGGCCUUCGGGUUGUAAAGCACUUUCAGUGGGGAAGAAAGCCUUGGGGCUAAUACCCUCGAGGAAGGACAACACCCACAGAAGAAGCACCGGCUAACUCCGUGCCAGCAGCCGCGGUAAUACGGAGGGUGCGAGCGUUAAUCGGAAUUACUGGGCGUAAAGCGCGCGUAGGCGGUCUGAUAAGCCGGUUGUGAAAGCCCCGGGCUCAACCUGGGAACGGCAUCCGGAACUGUCAGGCUAGAGUGCAGGAGAGGAAGGUAGAAUUCCCGGUGUAGCGGUGAAAUGCGUAGAGAUCGGGAGGAAUACCAGUGGCGAAGGCGGCCUUCUGGACUGACACUGACGCUGAGGUGCGAAAGCGUGGGUAGCAAACAGGAUUAGAUACCCCAGUAGUC
rnacentral:rRNA from 1 species